CGAGGUGUAGCGCAGUCUGGUCAGCGCAUCUGUUUUUGGUAUAGAGGGCCAUAGGUUCAAAUCCUUUCACCUUGA
rnacentral:tRNA from 1 species